UACGGAGGAUGCAAGCGUUAUCCGGAAUGAUUGGGCGUAAAGCGUCCGCAGGUGGCUAUGUAAGUCUGCUGUUAAAGAGUGAGGCUCAACCUCAUAAGAGCAGUGGAAACUACAUGGCUAGAGUGCGUUCGGGGCAGAGGGAAUUCCUGGUGUAGCGGUGAAAUGCGUAGAGAUGCGGAGGAACACCGAUGGCGAAGGCAGCCCCCUGGGCCGACAUUGACGCUCAGGCACGAAAGCGUGGGGAGCAAACAGG
rnacentral:rRNA from 1 species